AGGAUAGAGGUGCGGCUGCGAUGAGUACCGGUCCGGAGGGCGCUCGAGCCCGGUGAAGGACCGCAAAAGGCAAGGCCGCCGAAGAGAGGGACAUGAGCAUCCCCGCUCUGGUGCUGUAUCGAACAGGUGCCGCACUGUCAUCAUGUGUGAUGGAGAGCUAUCGG
rnacentral:ncRNA from 1 species